GACGAACGCUGGCGGCGUGCCUAACACAUGCGAGUCGAACGGAAAGGUCCGGCUUUUGUGCGGUGGUCGAGUGGCGAAGGGGUGAGUAACACGUGAGUAACCUGUCCCUGACUGUGGGGUAUCUUCAGGAAACUGGGGCUCAUACCGCAUAGGAUCUAUUGCUGCUUGGUGGGCGUUGGUAAGUUUCGGCGGUUGGGGAUGGACUGGCGGCUUAUCAGCUUGAUGGUGGGGUAGUGGCUUACCAAGGUUUUGACGGGUAGCAGACCUGGGAGGGGGACCGGCCACAUUGGGACUGAGAUACGGCCCAGACUCGAAUGGGACGCAGUAGUGGAGAGUAUUGCACAGUAGGCGGAAGCGAGAUGUAACAACGCCGCGUGCGGGAUGACGUGCUUCGGGUUGUAAACCAAUGUCGCCUUAGACGAGGCGUGAGUGACGGUAACGGGUAAAGAAGCACCGGCUAACUACGUG
rnacentral:rRNA from 1 species